rnacentral:rRNA from 1 species
AACGAACGCUGGCGGCGGGCCUCAUACAUGCAAGUCGAGCGCGAAAGUCCGCAAGGAUGAGUAAAGCGGCGCACGGGUGAGUAACACGUGGGUAAUCUACCUUUUGGAUUGGAAUAACCUGUCGAAAGACGGGCUAAUGCCAAGUAAGUUCUUUGGAACGUGGAGUUUUGAAGAAGAAAGAUGGCGCAAGCUAUCGCCGAAAGAUGAGCCUGCGUCCCAUUAGUUAGUUGGUGGGGUAAUGGCUUACCAAGACAAUGAUGGGUACCUGGUCUGAGAGGAUGACCAGGCACACUGGAACUGAAACACGGUCCAGACUCCUACGGGAGGCAGCAGUAGGGAAUAUUGCGCAAUGGACGAAAGUCUGACGCAGCCACGCCGCGUGAGUGAUGAAGGCCUU